rnacentral:misc_RNA from 1 species
GGAAAUCAAAGACCAGAAUCAAUCCAAAUGGUACAAACGGAUGUACGACACUAUACAUAAGCAGAAACCACAUAGCGACGAAUUGGUCACGGUUCGAUAUAGACAAAAAAGAGCACAAUAUCCGUACACUUCCGGUUACCUGUCGGAACCGGAACCAGGGGCGUACGAUAGCGACUUCACGGAUUACAAGUACCAAACAUUGGAUAGGAAAAGGACGCAGAUGCAGGAAAAAGUACCUUAUGUCACGUCUACCAUGCCCAGGCCUUCCACGCAAAGAUCAUCAUCGUCGGACAUUCUCAGAAGUUCACAUGAUUUCUACAAAAACCAACCCGGUAGGAUAGAAAACUAUACUCCAGGGCAUUCAUCGAUUUCUGAAAAGGAAGCAAAAGAGUGGUGGGACGAAGUUAUGGAUAUAUUCGACGGGUGGCUGGAUGAUAACUCCGCUUUGCCAAGUUACGAAGCCAUGUUCGCCACAGCUCUCUCAAGAUCCCACCUGGAGCAACAAAAACGGAUGCAACCCCACCCCAGAAGUUUCAUCAACCAGGCACUGAAGGAAUCUGGUUACGAAAGCGACUCAACUCUAGUAUUCAGGAGGAAAGAAAAAGGCGACCUCCAACUCAGUCCCAAGGAACAGAAGGAGGCGUAUAAGGUGAUUCAGAAAGGAGGCGAUGUACCACUUAAAGGUUUGAGAAAGCUUGCACCGGAAAGACCAAAAGAAACGGACUUUGUGGAGUUUUUCCCGAUUUCCCCCACCCUAACGCGAGUAAGAAUUCACAAAAAUAUCAAACCGCAGAAGGAAAUACUCUGCUACCCCGUUACAGUCCAUCAUUCUCAAGGCUCCUCUUUAGACUACAAAAGAACCGGUCCAUCCUUUGCCAUACCUGCCCCGCCUCCAAUUCCACCCCCUUCCCCUCCUAGAAGACGAUCUUCCAGAAAUAACCCCACUUUGAGAUUCGUUUCCACGAUGAAGAUCAAGUCCGACAAGUCUCCCGUUUGCAAAAGACACGAGACGUGCUUCACCACUUCUUCCAGCACCGAUAAAUCAAACGUCAAAUAUCUCAAGGACAAAAUAACUUGCAAGCUCUCACCAACUCUGAGUAAACGCAGCUCCAGCCCGAAGAUGAGCAUUUCUAAGAAAAUCACUACCACUUCUGACAUGAAAGGCAGAAUAACUUCGAGCGUAACUACUUCCAGGGAUGGUAGGUCAUCCUCGAGAAAUAUCCAGAGCAAGACGAAUGUUCAUAGCGCCAUAGGCAGAUCUAAGUCCACUGACUCUGUGAGGAAUCUUGCCAAGUUGUCCACGCCUAGGAAAAGUCCUAGCUCUUCAGUGGAAAGCUUGAAUUUGGUGAAGGUAGUACCCAAAACUUUUGCGUCAGAGAAACGUAAGUUCAACCUGAAUAUAAGGGCUAGUAAACUCGCUAAGUCACCAGAUCUCUUAUCCCCCACAGAGGUGAAGAAAGCAACGAUGACUCUCCCUGCUGGUGCGCAUUACAAGAAAUCUAACCCACUGGUAGCUUCAGGUAGAAAUGUCAAAGGUAAAGAGGCUGUCAAGGGUAAAACCAGCACUCCUUCUUCUCCGAAGCUUCCAAAAAGAUUAUCUCCGAGUCUUUCUACGUCUUCUGAGAGGUCAAAAGUCAUCAAGUCAUCCCAGGAAUCUCUAAGCUCACCCAGAAUGGCUAGAAAAGGCAAAGACAUCGUUAAACCCUCCGUUAAAGCUGAUAUUAUAGUUAAAGGAGACAAGGCGAAGAAAGAAAAAAUAAACGAUGAAAUAAAAAAAGAUAAAAAUAUCCAUAAAAAGGAUGUGCUUUUAGAUAAAUCGAUAACAGCAACCAGUAAAACAACCGUAAGCAAACAUCAGAAUUACAGUGCCUCUACCCUGAGUGACCUCAGAAAACAUAGAAGCGCCAUCCAAAGUGACCACUUUUUCCAACAUCUUCUCCUUAGAGAUGUAUCUCCAACUCCCUCUAACAUUAGCAGAAACUCUUGGAUAGUCGAGAAAACCAACCAACUUGCCAGAAGAUCGUCUUUCUCGGAACCCAGCAUCAGCGCCAUGAAAGUGUACCUGAAACAUACAAAACCCGUAACCGAUUCCAAAUUCAUCAGUCUGGAUAUGGCCACGAUACGCUCCAGAUCUGUCAGUCCAAAAUCAGUGAGCUUCGGCCAGAGCGCCAAGCCAAAAGAUACAGCUCCGACUAAGCGCAGUGCAAGUUUACCCCCCAAGCUAAUAUUUUCACAGACUAGCAGACCGGUGUCUCCCUUGGUGCAACGCAAAAAACUAGUAUCUCCUCCCCCGUCUCCUAAGCUGUGCAGAUCUCCGUCUUGCCGGAAAAUCAUGCAGUUCAAGCACCUCCAGCUGGACAAAAAACCGCCCGAAUACAGCUUGUAUAUGUGUCCAAACUUGAACCACAGCACCACGUCUUUGGACUCUUUGAAGAGCGAGGAUUAUCAAAAGUAUUUCCAUGAUCUUGUCCAGUCUGGUAAGCAAAGUGGCAAGUUCAAAGACCUGAACCAGUUCUACUCUGAAAUAGAGAAGGUAGGGAAACUUGAACGCUCCUGCAGUUUGAAGCCCAGAAAGAGAUGUGAGGGCGAGAUCAUAGAUUUUGAGAGAUGGAGAGAAGUCCGAACCAGGGAACGAGCUGAACGAGAGUUGGGGUUGCUGUAUAACCAAAUAAGGGCGGAGGAGAAGGAAAAGGGAUUCCUGUACCUACCCAAAGAUGUUGCCAAAUACAAAUGGAAGAGGGAGUUCGACAGAGGGCUGAGAAUCAAAGAGAAGUCUGUUGAGGAUAUCAAGGAAGAAUUCGAAAAGAUAAAAGAAGAAGAAUCGGAACGGGAGAACUCCAAACGCAGGGAACUCUCCUCUCUGAAAGAUACCUACAAACCUCUGUGGCGAGGAACUUCCGUGGUGGACAUAGCAAAUACCAUAGUAGAACGCCGAUCACAGUCUGAGGGUAGAAUCAAGACGGCAAGGCAGAGGCUGUUGGAUUCAGAGAAGCUGCUAACUCACGGAAUCGGUAGCAGAAUCUGGAGCAGCUUGUCUAUGGAGCAGGUAAACAUCCUGAAGGAACAGCUUGCUGAGAUAUACAACAACGUUCCCAAAGAGAAAGAAGAUUGCUCCAUCGAUGUACCUAAAGACAACAAGUUGACUUAUGUUCCAACCCUUACAGUGCGGAGAAACUCAGAUUCCUCCGAGCAGAUGUUCAAAGCACCAGUGUCGAAAAGCUCUGACAUGUCUGAAGACGACAAGAAGAUAAUCUCUCAGAGUUUGAGUAAAGAACUGCUGCAGAAGUUGGGAAGUUACCGCAGAGAGAAUAAAUCCGCCUUACCCGUAGUUGUUGGAAGGGAAAUAUUAGGCGCUGUAGCUGCUGCAGAUGCUAAAGUGAAAACUGAGCUACCUGCGAAAGCUCUGGUGAAAAGCGACGCUUUAAGUAACAGAAAAGUAUCUUCCACAAGUGAAACUGAGAGUGGGAGUACCGACGAAAGUACUAGAACUGUUAUCUGCGCAGAUAAGAGUGAUGAGAUCAAGAAGAAAGUGGAGUAUUUUGAAAAAGCUAAAGAGCUGGAAGCUUACACUCCAACCAUAUACAAGCCUGCUGACACCUACGAUAUUUCUGAGCCUCAAUGUGAGGAGAAAGCUGAAGUACCCGGAGAAAAAUCCAAGUUAUUCCAAUCCAAGUCAUGUCAGAGCCUCAAGGAUUACUUUGGUGAAAAGGAUCUUGUUAAGUUCGCCACCAUACCGCUUUCAGCUACGAGGAAGCAAAAGUUCACACCCAAAAAGCCUGAGUUGCGCGCCACAGAUAUGAGCCCCUUGAGAUCAGAGCUAUCAGCAACAACUAGCAAUGACAGUCUUUGUAGAAGCAGGUCCAUUUCCCCUUAUGAAAAGCAAUCUUCAGGAAUGACUGGUGAAGUGAGUCGUCUCAAGCAUAGAUUUGAAUACAUAGAAGAUAUUUUUGGAGGAAGUACCCUCAAACGAUCCAGAAGCGAAUCUGAUCUGCAUAGAAUCUACCCCGACAUCAACGUAGGCUAUGUUGACAGUUUGAGGAGAAAGUACGAGUACCCCGCAUACUCGGGGAGGGGGAGAAGCCGUACGAGAAGAGGGGGUGUCGUUUCCCCCCUCUUUUUGAGGGCUGAAGACAGAUUCAUGCCACAUAUCAAUAUCAUCAGCAAGAUAGCGAGUUUGUACACCAAAAAAGGAGCAAAGGGCGAGGGACACAUCAGAAGGAGCGUUGAAGAGUUAGCAGAGAUACUCGGGUGUCCAGUUGGUGAAGUGGAGAAGCUGAAAGAAAAGUAUGAUAGUCAGGAUGAUAUUUCUUUGGUGGGGCAUAUGUACACCUCCUCUCCCAGCAUUCGGGAACUGAAAGAUAUUGCUCCUUAUCUCACAGCUGAUUGGACAGCCCAUCGUUAUCCUAAGUUGGAGGAUAAUACAAGAUCCCUUUCGUCUCCCGAGCAUUCUGUGGCUUCUAGAGAUACCUCUCUAGUACGCAGAGAUAGAGCUAGACCCAAAUCCAUCUCCCCACCACCUAAAACAAAGAAAUCCCCUUCCAUUCUCAAACAUGUCCACCAGAAACAUCGGUCUGCGGAUUUUUUCCAAAAUCAGAAGUAUGAUCCGAAGAUUCACGAACCCGUUGCCCGAUACCGGCCGAAAGACGUGGCAAGACCCAGAACCUCCAAUACCGCCACCAAAGGGGCACUAUGCAAGAAGUCUAGAUCCAGAAUCUCCAAGGAAGUAUGUGGAGAACGAAGUGACCAUCCACUACAAAACCCCGGUACGUCAAGAAAUCAAAGAGUUCUUAAGCGAAGACGAAUUAGCUCACCGUCAGGCGGAAGCAAUGAAGAGAAUCUACGAAGAAGAAAGGCAGAGGAAACAUCUACAGGAACUUCGAGAUAUGCACUCCAGAAGACACACCGACAACUUCAUUCCUUCUCAAAAGUCUCCAAUCUCUCUUAACCGAUACGACGAUUUCGAUGAUUUAGCGCCCUCUCUUAAACUACUGCCAAAGUCGCCAGAUCCACGUCUCUGUGCUCGAGCCCUGUACAACUUUGUUGGCCAGACUGCAAGAGAGUUAACUUUCAGAAAAGGGGACAUAAUCUACAUAAGAAGACAGAUCGACAAAAACUGGUACGAAGGAGAAUUAAAUGCCAUGGUCGGUCUGUGUCCUACCAACUAUGUUGAGAUCAUCCCCUUCGAAGGAAGCAAACCGACUCCCCGUAAGGCCCACGAAGGCAAGGCUCGGGCAAAGUACAAUUUCGUGGCCCAAACUCAUCUGGAAUUGUCCCUUG